AAAAAAGUACUUUCAUAGUUGCCCGUUGACACAUUCUCGUGUCCACAUAAUAAUUAUGUCAAACUAAAAUAAAGAAAAAUUAUAAUUAAGGAUAUCUUAAUCAAAAAUCAUCUUAACUUUUGGCACUUAGUGAAUUCCUUAAUACAUAAAAUCUCAAUUAUUUUGGACGAAAAGAGUAUAAAUAAACCUUUUCUUUUAGAGAAUAGAAUAAAUAAAAGAAGAGCGUGUAGGGCGACUUUUGAAUUCGGCCAAACGGACAAAUCGGACCGUUUCCUCUCAAUAUGCGAUUAUGCUUUAGACCCGACCCCUCCACGUCAACAACAAUUAAUUAAUUACUCUUUUUUCAUCAUUUAGGGAAAUAUUAGAGAAUAAAUGGCCCAUUAAUAAACAGCUUGCUUUAAUUUGUCUUCUUCCAUCCAUCUUCAAACCGAUGCCAAAAAUCAACGGGACAUAUGUCUUCCUCAUUACCUUUGUCAUUUUACUUGUGCCAUUUAUUAUCAUAUUGAAGAAAAAGUUUGUGUGCUGUGAUCAAGAAUCACCGCCAAAUUCUAAUAAUGCCACCGAGGAAAUAGCUCGGGGAACUCCAUGUCCGCCGGAAAAUUCAGCUGCCGAAUUAGUGAUAGAUGUGUGUGAGGAAGAAAGUAAUGCGAAAAAUAGUGAUUGUUCUAUUUGUAUAGCAGAAAUUAAGAAAGGGGAGAUAUGUGUGAUACUUCACCCUUGUUGCCAUGGAUUUCAUUAUAAUUGUGCUCGUCCUUGGUUUGAAGACAAAGAGACGUGCCCUUUGUGUCGGACAACUGUUAGUGACUUGUCACGUGUAACACGGUAUCGAGGAAACCUCGCACCAUGACUAGAUCGCAAUUAAUGUCUAACUAGAGCUAUGAAGUUCGAAUUGAAUCUCCAUGUAAAUAAGUUUCCAUUCGACACAAAGCUCUUCAAAAACCCUUUAAGUUCCAUCAUGAAUGGUGACCCACAAGGUCACAACUAUGCUACAUUAAUUUAAAAGAAAGUGGACUCUCCAUUUGAAAUUUCACCCACUGUAAUCAGAACGGCCAGUUUUGUAAGGAGUGGACCAAAAUCUCCAUCAAUGGAAGUGUGACAUAGCAAAAACGAAGCUUACAAAUUCAACAUCAAACAUUUCUUGCAACUACUUAUGUCGCGGGGCAAAAAAAAAACUUCUCAAUCAACAAAGUUUCUGCUUAAAAUCAAAAUAUCGGAAGUGGACCAAAUAUCACCAUCAAUGGAACUGUGACAUAGCAAAAACAAUGGUAUGAUAGAGUUUCUUUGUAAUCAACAUUGAUUUGCAGAAGUCAUUGCUAAAGCUUACCCAGAAAAUCUAAUCUUGAUCAGUAUUCAGCUUACAAAUUCAACAUCAAACAUUUCUUGCAACUACUUAAAUUGCGGGGCAA